UCAGGGUUGGAUUGACAUGAGCUGACCACAAAAGGAGAAUCUAACUCCGGACCCACAGGAAGUACACAAGAAGCAGUUGCUUCCAACCCCAAGCAAGUUCUUAAGUUGAAGACGUUUGUUAAGAGGUCGCUCUCCAAACUGAAUGUCGUCUACGCCUGCAGUCCUCCCCCAAACAUACCUUACGCAAUUCUGGAACAUUCUGGGGAUAAUUUGCUGGGAAGUGUAAGAAGAUGUAAGUGUUUGGAUACACACAUAGCCACUGGACCUAUAGAAAUUAGCUGUGUUCGAGGCAAAGGGGGCCCCUUGUGGACAUCACCAGAGUCCAAGUGUAUCAGCCGAGGAGUGAAAACAGUUUCUUUGCAGUCUACAAACCUUACGUUAGAUAGAUAGACCAGGAUCAAACCCGCUGUUUUGCUGAAUAUUUUCAACUGAAAGCACAAACAACGAUGGGUUUUCAGCCAAGGAAACAAAACGUGACUAUUGACAUGGACAUGCUAAAUGAUUUGCCUGCAAUACUGUAAUAAAGUACACAGUUUGAAAAAAAAAUUAAAAUAUCAUUUUCCGAAAAAGAGGUUAGACUAAUAAAAGUGAUCCUGGGUAAAGUAUUUUGGUAAAAAAUGAAGACAGCUCCGCUAAGAAUUUAUGUAAACAUCAGUAUCUCACGCAAACAAUGCAUUUUUUACCCCAAGGCAUGAUGAAAAGCAUGCAUAAUUACUACACUACAUGUCAAUUACUGCCCUGGGAAAAUUGUGAACUAUCUGUCUGAAAUCGAAAUAGUGUCUUGCUGUAAUCCGAAAGCAGUAUAUUAUAUACAGAAUUAAGAAGAUAUAUCAAAAUAUUUUCACUUGAUUUGUGCUAACUUGAUAUGAAGCUAAUAUGACAUCUGCAAAAUCGCGAGGGAUUGGUUGGUGCCCGAGCCCAAUCGGGAUUCUAAGGAUGUUUUAACACCAAAUGAACAUGCGCUAACGCUAUUCUAGCAUAAAUACCUAUAAAUUGAUAUAUUGUCCCUAAACGUCUUAAAUAUUAUACAUAUUACUCAAACUUAGCUUAUUCUUGUUAGGAUGUAGAAGGUACAUUGUGCAAAGUGAAAAUGAGAUUUUAUCAAGCCUGUAUUUUACUGACACAUAUACUGUACCACUGCUCAUGACCACCGGAAGGUGAUGGUACGAUGGUAAAAAUGUGAUGGUACGAUGGUGAUAACGCGAUGGUACGAUGGUGAUUACG